ACCGAAACGACCCUACCUUAAUGACGGUCGAGUGUACAUUGACCAAUCAAAGCCAAGCUCAACCAACUGUGUCUCUUCUCUUUACUGAUAGACGUUACUCAGAGACAUACUACACUUGACCACUAAAUAAAAAAAUUCACCCUCUCUAUCACCCUGUUAAGUAGCUUGACCAAACAAGCUGUAGGCCUAAGUACAGAGGUCUCUCUCUCACUCCUCUCUUACUCCUCUCUCCAAUCUCACUCCCCUCUUUCGUGACAUAAUUUCCUUGGAAUAACACUCCCCUCAACACCAGUGCAUCCGUCUACGAGCAGAUAUACCCUCCUACACAGAGGAGGGGUAGGGGUAGAGAGAGAGUAAGUUGAGGGAGAGAAGCGGAAAGGGCGAGGGAGAGGGGGCUGUGAAAAUAUUGGUUUAGCUUUGCAUUCAUGCCCAGAAUUUCAGUGGUGAAGCUGAUUUCAGGUAAACCAAUGGAACCAAUGUGUCUGAUGUUUGCGUCUUUUGUGUGUGUGUGUGUGUGUGUGUGUGUGUGUGUACUUGUAUGCUGUAUGCGUCUUCCCUAUCCUCCAUGCCUCCAGAUCAUCCAUUCCCUGCAGCUCUUCGACUGAGAAGUGCAUUCUAUGGUACCUGUGUGGGCGUCAUAGAGUACCACUCAAUCGCUUCUUUUUGUCUUUCAACACUCAUCCCCCUCUUUUAGACAGGAAUUCAGAGGAGACACUUCUUAACUCAAUACCAACCCAACAUUCAGCAGCCCUGCUGAGCUGGGCUGUUUCGUAAGGCUGUGUAGGUGUUCAUAUUCUGAUUGGUUGUUUAGCAAAGAGAAGAGACGCCCCCCCUCUCUCACUCACACACGUAGAGAGUUUUACUAGCACACAGACACAUUUGAUUGAAUUGGUGCAUCACAGUCAUUAUAUGUUAGUCGUAUUUAGAGAACAAGAAGGAUUAUAUUUCUAUGGUGUAUUUACCUAAGAAUCACCCAAUAAUACAUUUCCCUCCAGCCCGUCUAAAAAGAGGCGUUGUCAAUGUGUUCAUUGCAAAUCUGUGUCACGUGCUAAAUGUGAUUUUAUUGAGUCAUUUUUUGACAAUCACACAUCGCUCUGAGCCAAGUGAUGAGGUUGCCCUGGCAACAGGGAGGAUAUAGUCACAAUCAUCCAGGGUUCCGUUGGCUGUAUCAGGUUCUCAGUGAUAAUCUCUCUUUCUCUUUCUCUCCCUCUUGUGCUUUCACAUUCUAUCGCUUUCUCUCCCACUGCAGUGAAGACUACCAUUGAUGGCUCUUUCAGACAAAGAGAUGCAUUUUAAAGGAACAGGGAAAGGGGAAACCAAGUGAAUACAUUCAACCCAAAUGUGUCUUCCGUAUUUAACCCAACCCCUCUGAAUCAGAGAGGUGAGGGGGCCUGCCUUAAUCGACGUCCAUGUCAUCGGCACCCGGGGAGCAGGUGGUGUUGCGGGGGUUAACUGCCUCGCUCAAGGGCAGAACGGCAGAUUUUUCCACCUUGCCGGCUCGAGGAUUCGAACCAUCAACCUUUCGGUUACUGUCCCAAUGCUCUUAACCGCUAGGCUCCCUGCCGCCCGAAAGAAAGAGAUUGAGAGAGAAGGAACAGGAGAAUGUUUGUAGGUAGGGGGUAGAGAAUGAGAGAGAAGGAACAGGAGAAUGUUUGUAGGUAGGGGGUAGAGAAUGAGAGAGAAGGAACAGGAGAAUGUUUGUAGGUAGGGGUAGAGAUUGAGAGAGAAGGAACAGGAGAAUGUUUGUAGGUAGGGGGUAGAGAUUGAGAGAGAAGGAACAGGAGAAUGUUUGUAGGUAGGGGGUAGAGAUUGAGAGAGAAGGAACAGGAGAAUGUUUGUAGGUAGGGGGUAGAGAUUGAGAGAGAAGGAACAGGAGAAUGUUUGUAGGUAGGGGGUAGAGAUUGAGAGAGAAGGAACAGGAGAAUGUUUGUAGGUAGGGGGUAGAGAUUGAGAGAGAAGGAACAGGAGAAUGUUUGUAGG